AAAUGACGUUAUAAAAGCUCAAGCUUUUAUCGGAGGAAACAAAGCAGGAGAAGACUACAAAACCCUCACAGGGGGAUUGGACGAGAUGAUCUUUGGAGGUCCCUUCCAGUUCCUGACAUUCUGUGAUUCUGUGCAAACUUGGUUCACGGUAGUACUUUUGCUGCUGGGAAAUAGGAGCGCUGAUCUUUGGGAAGUUCCGGAUGCUGUCAGGAGUUAUUCAAGCCCAUUGGUGUUAAUUUGACCCUGGACUGGCUGCUGCUUGACAUGCUGUCUGCACAGAGGAUGUUGUUUCUCAUAGCAAAAAUCUUAGCAGGAAGAACAAGGAACAGCUCUGUGACGUGAUGACGCUGAACGAGCAAAAGGGGGGUUUGAAAGCUUGGAGCAAAGAGGAGAGGGAAAAGCUGGAAGCCUAUCAGCAUCUUUUCUACUUGAGUGUUGAGGCGCUGUCUGUCUUUGUGGUGUUGGCUUUUGUGGACACGUGCUGUAUGGGAACUGCUGAGUCAUGGCCUGAACCUCUGAUUGAUCACCUGAGGCGAGCAGUGAGUCAGGCAGAGGAGCACAGGUGAAGGCAAUGCAGCUGUGCUGCUGGAAGGGGUGCAGCCAGGCUACAGCCCUCCUAGACCUGUUUAAGAGCUGGCUCCCAGUGGGGAAGGAUCUUGUCUGGAGAUCUGCUCUGCUGGAGUUUUGUAAGUGAGCCCAGGAUAGGGGUAAGCCUUCUAUUUAUUCUCCUUUUGUUAGCUUAGUCUGCUUUGUCAAACUCUCUUGUUUAUUUCAUAAUGACAACAUCUUAAUAGUCAUUGAUUAUACACGUGCGCUAAGUACUUUUUCUUCUUGUUUUAGACUACUCCAACAUACUUGGACAAGCUGCUUUUGCAGAUGCCUCAAAACAAACCCACAAAGUUCAUGGAUUCAGCCAUCUUCACGCUGCAUAACUACGCAUCCAGUCAGAGAGAGGAAUCUCUGCUGUUGAGGCUGUUGCAAACAGCAUUGCAGGAAGAGAUCAAGUACGUUGUAGCGUAGGACACAGCCUUGCUGUUGCCUCAG